GGAUAACCCGAGGAAACUCAGGCUAAUACCGCAUAAUCUCUUCGGAGCAAAGCGGGGGAUCUUCGGACCUCGUGCUAUAAGAUGAGCCUGCGUCGGAUUAGCUAGUUGGUGGGGUAAUGGCUUACCAAGGUGACGAUCCGUAGCUGGUCUGAGAGGACGAUCAGCCACACUGGGACUGAGACACGGCCCAGACUCCUACGGGAGGCAGCAGUGGGGAAUAUUGGACAAUGGGGGAAACCCUGAUCCAGCAAUGCCGCGUGUGUGAAGAAGGCCUUCGGGUUGUAAAGCACUUUCAGUAGGGAAGAAAUUCUCAAGGCUAAUACCUUUGAGCAUUGACGUUACUUACAGAAGAAGCACUGGCUAACUCUGUGCCAGCAGCCGCGGUAAUACAGAGAGUGCAAGCGUUAAUCGGAAUCACUGGGCGUAAAGCGCGCGUAGGUGGAUAUUUGAGUCGGAUGUGAAAGCCCUGGGCUUAACCUGGGAAUUGCGUCCGAUACUGGGUAUCUCGAGUAUGGUAGAGGGAAGUGGAAUUUCCGGUGUAGCGGUGAAAUGCGUAGAUAUCGGAAAGAACACCAGUGGCGAAGGCGGCUUCCUGGAACAAUACUGACACUGAGGCGCGAAAGCGUGGGGAGCAAACAGGAUUAGAGACCCUGGUAGUCCACGCUGUCAACGAUGAGAACUAUGUUGGGGAGUUUACUUUCUAGUAGCGAAGCUAACGCGUUAAGUUCUCCGCCUGGGGAGUACGGCCGCAAGGUUAAAACUCAAAGAAAUUGACGGGGGCCCGCACAAGCGGUGGAGCAUGUGGUUUAAUUCGAUGCAACGCGAAAAACCUUACCUACCUUUGACAUCCUCGGAACUUGUCAGAAAUGAUUUGGUGCCUUCGGGAGCCGAGUGACAGGUGCUGCAUGGCUGUCGUCAGCUCGUGUCGUGAGAUGUUGGGUUAAGUCCCGUAACGAGCGCAACCCUCGUCCUUAGUUGCCAGCGGUUUGGCCGGGAACUCUAAGGAAACUGCCGGUGAUAAACCGGAGGAAGGUGGGGACGAUGUCAAGUCAUCAUGGCCUUUACGGGUAGGGCUACACACGUGCUACAAUGGGCAGUACAAAGGGUUGCCAAACCGUGAGGUGGAGCUAAUCCCAAAAAGCUGUUCGUAGUCCGGAUUGGAGUCUGCAACUCGACUCCAUGAAGCUGGAAUCGCUAGUAAUCGCGAAUCAGAAUGUCGCGGUGAAUACGUUCUCGGGCCUUGUACACACCGCCCGUCACACCAUGGAAGUG
rnacentral:rRNA from 1 species